GGCGCCGUGGCUCAGUUGGCUGGAAGCGCCUGGUUCAGUAAACAGGAGAUCACGAGUUCGAAUCUCGCGUCGGUGCCU